rnacentral:rRNA from 1 species
CAGGCCUAACACAUGCAAGUCGAACGAGACCUUCGGGUCUAGUGGCGCACGGGUGCGUAACGCGUGGGAAUCUGCCCUUGGGUUCGGAAUAACAGCGAGAAAUUGCUGCUAAUACCGGAUAAUGACGUAAGUCCAAAGAUUUAUCGCCCAGGGAUGAGCCCGCGUAGGAUUAGCUAGUUGGUGGGGUAAAGGCCUACCAAGGCGACGAUCCUUAGCUGGUCUGAGAGGAUGAUCAGCCACACUGGGACUGAGACACGGCCCAGACUCCUACGGGAGGCAGCAGUGGGGAAUAUUGGACAAUGGGCGAAAGCCUGAUCCAGCAAUGCCGCGUGAGUGAUGAAGGCCUUAGGGUUGUAAAGCUCUUUUACCCGGGAUGAUAAUGACAGUACCGGGAGAAUAAGCCCCGGCUAACUCCGUGCCAGCAGCCGCGGUAAU